UACGUAGGGGGCAAGCGUUGUCCGGAAUCAUUGGGCGUAAAGCGCGUGUAGGCGGUUCGGUAAGUCCGCUGUGAAAGUCGGGGGCUCAACCCUCGGAUGCCGGUGGAUACUGUCGAGCUUGAGUACGGAAGAGGCGAGUGGAAUUCCUGGUGUAGCGGUGAAAUGCGCAGAUAUCAGGAGGAACACCAAUUGCGAAGGCAGCUCGCUGGGACGUUACUGACGCUGAGACGCGAAAGCGUGGGGAGCGAACAGG
rnacentral:rRNA from 1 species